rnacentral:ncRNA from 1 species
UCUCUGGAGAAUCCCGCGAAAAGCGGGUGCCGAAGGGGCAAGGUAUGAGCCGAGAGCAAUCUUCGCUUGAUGGCACCGUACCGAAACUCUCAGGCAAAAGGACAGAGUU